CGCUCCAUUUCCCAACUUGAGAGAAGCACACGGAGGAGAAAAACUAGAAGACGGUGCAGCACAGCUGCACAAGACAAAAAGAAGUCAGGUAGACGAGAGAGAGAGAGAGAGAGAGAGAGAGAGAGAGAUGAGCUCUCGAUACCCGCUUCACACACUUCUACACUCCUUCCGUUUCCGCCUCCUCGCCCGAUCCAUCUCCUCUACUCCCUGCGUCGAGAGCGGCGGAUGGUUCGACAAGAUCAAAGGCGUCUUCACCGGCAAAUCCACCACCGAUUCCAAGUCCUCCUCCUCCUCCUUCUCCCUCAUCGAAUUUGCCGAUCAGAUGGACAAGGCGCGGAUGCUGGGAUCCUUCAGGAAGUUCGAGGUGGGGCGCAGCAGCGCUACCAUGUCCGAGGCUUUCAAGAAGCACAUCGCCAUCCUUCGCUACCUUGGCUCCAUCGAUCCAACGGGAGAGAAUCUCAAAGCUAGCCACAAACGUGAUGCGACAAAGCAUUGUAAUUGCGCGAUAGCUGACGUUGAGGAUGUACUGGCGAAGUACACGUGGGCCAAAGAGGCACAGAAGAAAAUUGAUAAGUUAAAGGAGGAAGGAAAGCCAUUGCCAAAGAACUUUAACGAGGUGCAAAAACUGAUGGGCUCAACACCAGUGGAUGCUGGCAGAUCUAAUUUGGCAAAGAGUGGGGCAAUAAGCAGAAAUGCUCUCUGCCCAUGCGGAUCCAAAAAGAGAUAUAAAAGGUGCUGCGGAAUGACCUGAAGUGGCCACAGCUGGUGGAUUUGAACUUCUCCAACUUAUGUGAGAUACGCAACUUGGGGAAGUGGAACUGGCUGUCAACCACAUCAAAUUUGCAAUUUACUUCUGGUUGGAGGGAGGAGGUUGAGACUGUGGCAGUUAAAGCAUUGACCACGCUAUCAUCAACUGCAAUACUGACGCUGCAAAGAUCCUCAUUGUUAAGUUAGCUAUCAAAGAAAAUGGAAGACGGCAAUUUCUGUUGAUUCAGAAAUUGAAGCCAUGGCGUACCAACAGAGUGGUCAUGUUUUUAGUUGAGGGAUAAUCUGCAGAGUUGAAGCUUUGAUUAGGUUUUGAAUUGUAGCGUUGUUCCACAUUCAUUUACAAAGUUUGAGGCGGAGAAGAGACACGAUUGGCUACAGGGUUCGACCAUUUCAGAACUGGGCCCUCUGUUAACAUCUGCAACCCUGCAUGCAGUCUCCGAGCCACCAUUCUCACGAAGGAUUGCUCGGUCGUGAGAAGACAAGAAUGUUGGUCAAUGAGCAUGGUGUAAUUGUGGCCUCCAUUUGGGAAGAUGAUCGGGGAAUUGGUGAGGUUCACACUUCUUUCAAAAAACUGUCGUUCCUUGAAUGGUAAAUAACUGAAUUAAAUGAGACAUUUUCUG